GACGAACGCUGGCGGCGUGCUUAACACAUGCAAGUCGAGCGGUAAGGCCCCUUCGGGGGUACACGAGCGGCGAACGGGUGAGUAACACGUGGGUGACCUGCCCUCAGCUCUGGGAUAAGCCUGGGAAACUGGGCCUAAUACCGGAUAUGACUCCAUGACGCAUGUCGUGGGGUGGAAAGCCUUGUGCGGCUGGGGGAUGGGCCCGCGGCCUAUCAGCUUGUUGGUGGGGUGAUGGCCUACCAAGGCGACGACGGGUAGCCGGCCUGAGAGGGCGACCGGCCACACUGGGACUGAGACACGGCCCAGACUCCUACGGGAGGCAGCAGUGGGGAAUCUUGCGCAAUGGGCGAAAGCCUGACGCAGCGACGCCGCGUGAGGGAUGACGGCCU
rnacentral:rRNA from 1 species